rnacentral:lncRNA from 1 species
AUAAUCAUUUGGGGCAAUGGUUUGUAAUUUUAUUUUUAAAUAUAGAAUUAAUAUAUAUUUUUUGAAUAUAAAGAGAGCUUCAUCUCUUGUUGUAGCGUAUAUUGGUGAGUCCUCAGUAUCUAUGGAGGCCAGUCAUAUCGAGGCGUAGGUGAUGAUAGAGUUGCUGGGACCAGAUCAUUAUAGUCGGAUGAGGGAUUAUGGAGGUAGAGUCACCUCCACUCAGUUAUCUGAUAUACACCGAUACAUUCAAGAUACUAGAGAGAAUUCUAGUAAUAUGGAUAUUCAUAUGCUUGAGGUUUAGAUAGAGAUAUGGAUUGAGUAGUUGGAAGCAUGGAUGGAGGCAUGAAUGAGCAGUUGGAGGCACGAGUCGAGACGCGGAUGGAGACGAUGAGGA